ensembl:lncRNA
GUGGGAGUGAGGCCGAGCAUUGGGACCGUCCCCACCCGUGGGUGGCGUUGGAUGUGGCAGCGGUCGUCGUGCCGGAUGAAGGGAGAUCCCCAUCCCAUCCCAUGCAGAGCCCUCUCCAAACUCACCGUGUUGACGUUCCUCACCCCAAGGAAGCCCAGCGCUGCCCUUCCCCGAUGCUUCCUCCAUCCUGAGGCCAGAAAUGGGCCGGUUGAUGCCCUGGGCUGAUGCUGAGCACGGCCGAUGCCUUCGGGGUCCUCCCUCCAAGCCGAGCAGCCCCGGAGGUGCACCGACUCCCUGCGCAGCGCCGGCGCACGGAGAUGCUGCAAUCCCAUCCCCAAACACCAUAGGACCAAUGGCUCCGUGGCACCCAGGCAGCAACGGGACGCAGCGGGGCGGUGGAUCCCAGCCACGCUCCCCUUGGUGCUUUAAUUACCACUCGGGCACUCGUUAGGCGGAGGACGGGAAGGAUGGAGCCAUAUUAUGUCAUGGUGCAGCCGUGGGUGGUCGAUCCCUGUCCUAAUUCGUCCCCCUCCCUCUCGCCCUGCCCCGGCUUUCAGAAUUAGGUCAAUGGGGGACGGGGAUGUGGGGUGCGGCCGGGAGAUGUGAGCAGGACAAUGUCUGCACUCACUGAGCCGGUGUCGUCCCUGCAGUGAACACACAGAGGGACGGAGUGUGCUGGGCUGGGCUGGGCUGCGCCACAUCACGCCGUGCCAUGGCAUGUCCUGCUGUGCCAUGCCGUGCUGUGCCACUGAAACCUGUGCUGUGCCAUAUUAGACCAUGCCAUGUCAUGGUGGGCUGUGUGCUGUGCUGUGCCAUAUCAGACCAUGCCAUGUUAUAUCAUGCCAUGCCAUGCAGUGCCAUUGAAAUCUGUGUUGUGCCAUAUCAGACCAUGCCAUGCCAUGCUGUGCUGUGCCAUAUCAGACCAUGCCAUGCCAUUGUGGGCUGUGCCAUGCUGUGCUGUGCCAUAGCAGACCAUGCCAUGCCAUGCUGGGCUGUGCCAUGCUGUGCUGUGCCAUCAAAAGCAGUGCUGUGCCAUAUCAGACCAUGCCAUAUCAUGCUGGGCUGUGUGCUGUGCUGUGCCAUAUCAGACCAUGCCAUGUCAUGCUGUGCUGUGCCAUUGAAACCUGUGCUGUGCCAUAUCAGACCAUGCCAUGUCAUGCUGGGCUGUGCCGUGCUGUGCUGUGCCAUAUCAGACCAUGCCGUGCCAUGCCGGGCUGUGUCAUAUCAGACCAUGCCAUGUUAUAUCAUGCCAUGCCAUGCAGUGCCAUUGAAAUCUGUGCUGUGCCCCAUCAGACCAUGCCAUGUCAUGUCAGGCUGUGCCGUGCUGUGCUGUGCCAUCAAAAUCAUUGCUGUGCCAUAUCAGACCAUGCCAUGUUAUAUCAUGCCAUGCCAUGCUGUGCCACUGUAAUCUGUGCUGUGCUUUAUCAGACCGUGCCACGUCAUGUCAGGCUGUGCCAUGCUGUGCUGUGCCAUUGAAAUCCGUGCUGUGCCUUAUCAGAGCGUGCCAUAUCACGUUGGGCUGUGCCAUGCUGUGUUGUGCUGUGCCAUGCUGUGUGAUGCCGUGCUGUGUCAUGCCAU